rnacentral:misc_RNA from 1 species
CGCACGCAUACGCAUCCGCUGCCGUUCCCUCCCCCCUAUCCCUCGCGUCCUUCGCGCCAAAGAUGAAGAGGCGUCUGCACCGCCGUAGAUGCCGCGACGGAGCCUGAUGGGUGGCCACGCAUGGCUCUUUUUCUUUCCCGCUUCGCCUUCUCGCUAGGGAGGCGACGUUUGCGUGCGUUGGUGGGAGUGCCUCUGUGCGCGUGCGCGCAUUUCGGUGUGAAGGCGGAGCGAGCAAAAGGGACAGUGAAAGGGGGCUCGAAUGGGAUGAUUAUUGCUGCUGCUGCUGACCACCGUCACCUUACCUCUGAUGCAGCUGUGCUCAGCGCCAUCAUGGGGGGUGCGGGCAGAUGCGGAGUACGUGGCUACGCUACCACGCUAAAAUGCCGUACGUUUGGUAGCAGUCUCAUGGGCAGCCGACGCGCAACGGUCUUUUUCUCUCCGUCGAACUCGACAAUGCAAGAGGUUGACCACGCAACAUCUGCUAUCCUGGACACUGCGCGCGAUGGAGGACAAGUGCGGGGAGCGCCUUGACAGCGCAACCUAAAAGGGCGCACUGGUGCGCCACGGGGCGGUUGGUGUCGAAGAACUCGUGGGUACGCUCGCUACGACGUGUACGCCGCUUGCACUGAUCGACCCCAUGCUGAUUGCAAUGACGAGUGUGACGUACAACGUGUAUGCCACCGCCGAGCUGCGGCUGUGGCCGUGUGUGAGCCACUCGUUCGCAUCGCGUCGCCGCUUGUGCAGCUUUUCAUCAGCUGCACCGCCCUCGCACCCCGUAGUGACAGGGUAUUGCGCCAGCGGAUCGACCAGUGUGGGCAGUGAUGUGCGAGGUACCGCGUUCGACGUGGCUGAGCUACCUGGAAGUGAUGCGCAGCGAGAGCAACUUCAACGACCCUCUACUUAAUCUUCACGUUGUUGCGGCUGCAAGGCGCAACGACGGUUGAGCAGGCGGAAGGGGAGUAACGAUGGCGGCGCUAGUGUCGGCGGUCGCCGAGCUGCAAGCCGCGACUAGGCAGCGGUGAGCAGAAACGUUGUCCUCGCUGCAUUUCUUGUUCUUUUGCUCUUCACGUAUCGCCACCCUUCAGGACAAGGGAUGCCUCCGCGUGGUAUCACAGGGACACACCAGUGCCACCACUCCGUGACGGGAGGCCACGCAGCACCCUCCCACUCUUCCUGCGAAUGCCAAAGCACUUCUGGUGGUGACAGGGCCAGGCGCCUACGGCGUGGCGAGGCUAGAGCCGGUUUAUCGUUGCUGAUGUCGGCGGCGAGGUCCUGGCUGGCGCCACGUCGGGGCGACCUGCGACAUUGAGCACGUCUACAUUAUGCAUAUCGUGGACGAGGCGCCAACGUGAGGCACCGAUGACGGAAGCAUAAGGAGAGCACCCCGAAUUCGCGCCAUCGAGUCCUCCAGACCUCCACGUGGAGAGUCACCACACCACAUUGUGGAAUGCCGCGGUGUAAAGCGAUUGAAAGAGAAACACGCCACACUGGCAGGGUGUCCGGGGCCUCAGAGGGUCCUGGCCCCAAGCCGGCCAACCUCCCCCCAUGAGCUCAUCCGGCAUUCAGCCGGACCAGACCCUGUUAUCAGCACCACAGAGACGCCAUCGCCUCCUGCCCUCGAGCAGGACCGCGAAGGCCGCUCCUUCGGAUUACGGCAUGUAGUCCACACGAGUGGUCUGUCUGGCGCCGAUUGAGCAGCACGUAUGCAAAGGAAGGAUGAGAAAGAACAGGAUGAGCCCAUCAGACGCAUGGCCCUGAUUCGACAGCAGGCCAGCUCGUCGUAGGCGUCCAGCAUGUAGGUGUACUGCGGCGGAGGUGAGAGAACUGCGAUUGUGUAUGCGCAUGGGUGCGGACUUGUAGU